UAAGAAACAGGACUUUACAAAGGCUUUCUAUUGGCAGCACACCGGAGAAAUUCUGCGUCCCCAAGUGUCACAGCUAAGUCCUUAUUCUUCAAAAGAACAAUUCCAUCCCUGCAUGCUGGAGCAUACCUUGCAAGCCAGCCAGAAAUAGGCACUGUGGGAAGCAAAUUUUUCACUAAAGCGAAGAAGACCGGUCACUGGCCUUCCAAAUGUUCUUUUCAUUACCAUCUAUCAAAGUAAUGGAAACCUAGCUGAAGGAAUCUUGAUGGUGUGAAAGCAGCUCACAACAUUUAUAGUGUCGGGUCAGUAUUUGUGGACCAAUCAUCGGAGGCAAAUAGAGUCACAAAUGCAGCUAGUUUCUGAGGACCGAUCCAAACAUCCUGGAACCCAAGAGGUUAAGACAGCAGAAUUUCUUCCAACUGUGGUAGAAGAAAUAUAUUUUAAAAGGAUGAAAAAGAUAUUCUGAGACCUCCACUGUGGAAGACCUGAGUUAAAAUAAUGAUUUUUCAUUCAUUACACUUCAUUUCAGAAUGGGCGUCUGAGUAUACACAAGUCUCAUUAACUUCACAUGCACAAUUAACACCAAGUAUUUAUUCAAAAUAUUUACCUUUAAAUGAGAAAAUAUUUGACUCUAGAUGCAUACUAUAUUAUAUUCUGCAAUAUAGAUCACAUUAUGUUCUGCAAUACAGUAUUUUCUAUACUGUAUUGUAUGGAAAACAACUGCAAAAAUGAUGUUUGUGUCUAGUAUGCAGUAGAAGUUUAGACAUACAUGUCAUGCACUAGGACAUGGUUGAAAUAUGAAAAGAUAAAAUAGUAAUCGAAAAUACACAUGUGGCUUCUCUAGGUUUCCUAUAGCAUAAAAGUAGGUUUCUAUAUUUUCCUAGAUCAACAAUAAAGGUACAGAAACAACUGUGGCCUUGUCGUCUGUGGCUUACAUGGGAAAUAUCAUUUUGUUACGAAGCAUGCAGGCACUAAAUCGGCUGUUGUUGGUAGUUCUAUGUAUACGGGAUAUGACAUUACACUGACUUUCUUAUGAUCACAAGAUGUCUAUACUACCUCAGAGGAUCAUAUUCUCAAAAUACGUCCAAAGACAGCAAUGUAUCUGCUAUUUUUAUCAAUGAACAAGGGUUUCCUUACAUUACAUAAUACUCACCUUUUAUCUCCUUGCCCAGAAUAAUAGGUUGCAUCAUACCCUGCUGUGAAUAAGAUUGCCAAAGUCUGUACUGUAUGUAUGUAGAAAAAGUGGUCAGCAAGAUCAAAACUAGCUUACGCUAAUUAUGCUAAUUUCCAUGGGGCUAGUCACUAGAAAAUCUUGAACAAGAUUAGCAAGUGAGAGGCAUAUAAUAUGGCUAUCAGGCAAAAUCAAAUAAUUUUAAUGAGAAGAAAAUAACAUGA